UUCCUGUCUACUGUGCAUGUGUGGUUUUGAUUUCAACUGAAGAAGUGACAUUCUGACUUGGAAUUCCACCAGAUGAAGGGAAAGCAUUGUGAGAAAAUUCAGAGAAAAUCAAACCAGCGCUGGAUUCAGACACAACUGGCUGUGAAUCCUGGCUCUGCCACGUCAUAGUUGUAUAGCCCUAGAUAGAUUUACUAAAUCACUUCGAGUUACAAAUUCCUCAUCAGUAAAAUUUCAGUAAAAAUACUUACCUUGAGUGUUCUUAUGAGGAUUAGAGUUAAUAUAUGCAAAGCACCGUGCAUCAGCUCUCAAUCAAGGGUGGUAUAAAUCACUUGAUGUUUAAAGAAUCUCUGAAAGUAAAAGCUUCUGAAUGUGGAACAGAUUCAAAUAACAAGUGAAAAUAAAAGCAGCCAGCAUCAGGCCCAGCCCAACAGAGUUCUCUCUCAGUGCCAUUUCUUUGCUCCCAACGAAACAUCUGAUGUGUGCUGGGUUUUGACCCUCACUGGCCUUCAAGCUUCUGCUUCUGUACUGCCCUGAAUUACUCUUCAGCUGUGGCUUUACCUUGGCUUUGUUCCUAUGUCUCUGUUUUGGCACCUGCUUAUCACCUGGCUAUACUCUACUCUCUCCAGCUUUGGACUUCUUCAAGUGAGUGUGUUGAUGCCUGUUUCUGGCUUAUGGCAUGGUUGCCAUAUCCCUG
rnacentral:lncRNA from 10 species